rnacentral:rRNA from 1 species
GUAAAGGGCACGCAGGCGGUUAUUUAAGUGAGGUGUGAAAGCCCCGGGCUUAACCUGGGAAUUGCAUUUCAGACUGGGUAACUAGAGUACUUUAGGGAGGGGUAGAAUUCCACGUGUAGCGGUGAAAUGCGUAGAGAUGUGGAGGAAUACCGAAGGCGAAGGCAGCCCCUUGGGAAUGUACUGACGCUCAUGUGCGAAAGCGUGGGGAGCAAACAGGAUUAGAUACCCUGGUAGUCCACGCUGUAAACGCUGUCGAUUUGGGGAUUGGGCUUUAAGCUUGGUGCCCGUAGCUAACGUGAUAAAUCGACCGCCUGGGGAGUACGGCCGCAAGGUUAAAACUCAAAUGAAUUGACGGGGGCCCGCACAAGCGGUGGAGCAUGUGGUUUAAUUCGAUGCAACGCGAAGAACCUUACCUACUCUUGACAUCCAUGGAAUCCUGUAGAGAUACGGGAGUGC